CAUGGCGGAACAUGGCGUGGUAGAAAUUGUGAGAACUGCAGGGAAAUGACAGCUUGCUUUGGUACAAGGUCCGGAACUGAAGGGCCCUUCAGCUUCUCAGAAACUUUCCAUCGCUUAGUAAUAUUUAGAUAUAAGAUGGAAGGAAGAGAGUUCGCAUUACAUAGAGAUGAAGACCAUGUUUCCUAAGUGCAUGCCAAAUGUCAACUUGUCAGCAAGAGGUAGACAGUGGAUUCUCUGAAGGUUGCAGUUCUGUGGGAAUGGUCAGUGAUGUCUACGGGGAUUGAAAUUUUAAAUCGGAUAUGACGAUGUACUAAUUACAGGUUUGUUCGACCUCCCAAAGCUGGAUACCAAGGAACACGAUCACCUUAAGUAUAAGAUCAGAGACAAAUAUCAAUCUUGGAAAGAAAGCAAAAUUGGAUCGACACCUAAUUCAGAGAAUAAAAUGAAAAAUUGGGGUUCUAUCCGUCCGCCAUCCCCCACCACACCCGUCUCUGCCUCUAUUAGACGGUACUUCUAAAUUAUCAACUUUGGAAGGAAACCAAAAACGGUUUCCUGCUCAUCAUCUACCACCGCACCCGCCACUUUUAGACAGUUUUCUUAAUUCUCAUCUACCUUGUGAUUCACACAUCUUUUGAUACAGUACAAUGUUACAGUACAUUACGAUACAAUCAUAAUAAUCUUAUAAUACAGUAAAAUAUUACAACAAUUUUAUACAGUUGUUUUUCUCCAUCCGACCUCCCCCGCCGCACCCACCUCCUGCGUACAGUUUACUUAAUUCUUAAUAAAAGUUGUCUACCUUGUGGUAGUACCAGUUAUUUUCGAAUGCCCGCGUUUUGUGUCACCAAAUGUCUGUCUUAGCGCACAUGCGUAUUACAUGAUGUCAUUAUCACAAGGAGGAUGGCUUUGCAGAUAUUAAAAAAACUUCCUUUGACUUUCGGUUGUUGUGGGGAACGGAGGUGGAUCCACCCCCAAUUUUUACUUCCUUUUUGAGAUUGACAAUUAUUUGUACGGUGUAUUGAAGUGUUCAUUCGUCAUGAAAUCUACGAAAGAAAGAAUGAAGAACAGUAAAUGAGCCACAGCGUAACAAAAUGUUGCAUAAGAUGUUCUUAUUAUGUACAAACACAACAUUGUACAAUUGGACACUCGUUUAGUUCAACUGUACCACAUCGCACAAUGACCGAAAAAAAACAAUGAAUAUGUUCGCAAUGAAUAAUAAAGUAAACUCA